UACGUAGGGGGCAAGCGUUAUCCGGAAUUACUGGGUGUAAAGGGCGUGUAGGCGGAAGCUUAAGUCUGAUGUGAAAUCCCAAGGCUCAACCUUGGAAUUGCAUCGGAAACUGGGUUUCUAGAGUGCAGGAGAGGAAAGCGGAAUUCUCAGUGUAGCGGUGAAAUGCGUAGAUAUUGAGAGGAACACCGGUGGCGAAGGCGGCUUUCUGGACUGUAACUGACGCUGAGGCGCGAAAGCGUGGGGAGCAAACAGG
rnacentral:rRNA from 1 species